CGCCUUGCCAGCCCGCUCAGAACUCAAAGGAAUUGAGGGGGCCCGCACAAGCGGUGGAGCAUGUGGUUUAAUUCGAUGAUACGCGAGGAACCUUACCUGGGCUCAAAUGUAUGUUGACGUAUUCUGAAAGGGAUACUUCUUCGGACAAUAUACAAGGUGCUGCAUGGUUGUCGUCAGCUCGUGCCGUGAGGUGUCGGGUUAAGUCCCAUAACGAGCGCAACCCCUACCUUUAGUUGCCAUCAGGUUAAGCUGGGGACUCUAAAGGAACUGCCUACGCAAGUAGUGAGGAAGGCGGGGAUGACGUCAAAUCAGCACGGCCCUUACGUCCAGGGCUACACACGUGCUACAAUGGCCGAUACAGAGGGCAGCUACCUGGUGACAGGAUGCAAAUCUCCAAAGUCGGUCUCAGUUCGGAUCGGAGUCUGCAACCCGACUCCGUGAAGUUGGAUUCGCUAGUAAUCGCGCAUCAGCCAUGGCGCGGUGAAUACGUUCCCGGGCCUU
rnacentral:rRNA from 1 species